rnacentral:lncRNA from 1 species
AAUCGUGAGGUGUAGACUACCAUCCCCUUGAAAGAGUUUGUGACCUAUCAUGACAAUGACAAGAGGUUCUACCAACCCAUAUUUAACUAUUAUGAGACAUUGGAAAUGAUGCUAGAAAUUCAUGGUUUAACAAAAGACGGUGGAAAUACAUAGGAUGAGCCAAAAAAAUACCUGUGAAAUUUAAUUUCGUUGUGCAGCUCUUAUCUGCAAGAUUUGCUGAUUCUGUUCAAAUUCCCACGGUAUGAAAUGCCUGUGAAAUGAUGGACGUGCUCUGCAUGAGAACCAAGCCCAUCAAAACCGACGCUCCAAAUAUAUAUCUAUGGCACACAUAGGUUUAAUCUUUAGCAUUUUACAAUAAUAAUCUUCGGCUGGUCGAUGCAUUGUUCUGAUCAUUUGGCUCAACUUCAGUACUUCACUGCUCAUGUACCAGCGAGAUGAAGUUUGGUGCUUCAUGCAACAUU